CAGACUGAGGUUAUGGCGGACUUAUUUGAGUAAGUGCUCGUGUCCCGUAUCGGGGAUGAUCAAGGCUGCGCGUCAUCACGAUAGUUAAGAGAGCGUGUUUUAAGAAUUAGUUUCUGGACCGCUGUCUGAGUCAGACUGCUUUAACAGCAUGCGUCUUGCGCGGGAGAGCUUUUGCACACGGCACGACACGACGCGGAGUUUAAUCUCUAUUAAUAAAUACCCGCUUUGCCUCGGCCAGAAUAGAGAGCAGCUCUCCACUACUGGCUUAUUGAAUGCAUACGCAGUGUUUCAUAUUGGAGAUCGUAACAAACGCAAAUCGAUUUUAUCUUUGAUAGAUUUUUAUCGAUGGAUUUACGAGGAGAGGUUAGAUCAUAAUGAUACAAAAAUAAUACAUCGAUCGAAUUAAUUUGUCAUGAUUUAAUUCAAUAUGAUUUAUGGUUUUUUCAUAUUAUGAAUUUUAAUUAUAGAUAUUAAAAAUAUUAUUAAAAAUAUUUUUUUUUAUUUGCAAAUUGAAAAAGAAUUGAAUGUAUACUACUUAAUUAUCUAAUUUGUAAAUUUGAAUUAUUAUAUGGAAAUAUUUAUUAUGAAAAAUUAAUUCUUGAUUUAAAUAUUAAAAAUAUUUAAAAGUUUUUUAUUUUCAGAGUGAAAUACAAAAAUCAAUAAGAUUAAAUUGAUUAAGAUUAAGAUUAAGAUAAUUGAUUAAGUUUAAAUAAAUUAGAGAAAUAAAAAUCAUGACGAGAUCAAAUUACAUUUAUGUCAAUUGCAUUAUUUACAUUUUUUUGCUUAGGAAAUAUUUUAAAUGAUUCUAGUCAAAGGAUAUAUUACUAGAAACUACAAUAUAAUCACUUUUAAAUAUUUAUAAAGAUACAAUAAUAAAUAAGAUAUUUUAAUUUAAAUUUUUUUUAAUUUUCUAUAUUAACAAAAAAUUAAAGUAUUAAAAAAAUAUUUAUAUUACUAUUUUUUAUAUGAAUGAAUAUGCACAAUUAAUAUUUAAUAAUAUGAAAGAAUGAAACUUAUUAAGCUAUUAUAAAAGAUAUAAAAAGAAACAAUUAAAUACAACAUAAUCAAUUUUUAUUUUUAAAAAUUAAUCUACAUAUAUAUACAUAUUUGAAGUAAAUAAAAAGAAGUAUGAAUUAAGUGCAUAAUUACCAACACGUUCUCCGUUGCUACAAACAAUACCUGUCGCCAAGGUCUGAAAAAUAUGAUUACAAUCAUAUUAUUAUUAAUCCUAUUAGAAUUUUGCUAAUAUUUGUAAUACUAAGAAAAAUGAAAGAAAAUGCGACUAUAUUUUUUUUUACUAUUUACUAUAUACUAUUUACUGUAUCAUGUUACUAUAUUGAAAACUUUUCCAUAUUGAAAUAUAAUGACAUUUAGGGUUCACCGAGUAUUCAUGAAAUUCAAUAUUACUCUCGAUAUUUAACACAUAGUGACGCAUUAAUCCCAGAAAUAAUUACAUAGUAAUUUUUUUAUUUUUAAUAAUUUUUUUAUUUUUAAUAAAUUUUUAAAAUAUUAAUUCUGCAAUAAUAUAUUGAAAUUUUCAUUAUUUCAAUAAAAUAUUCAUUUUUAUUAUAAAUUAUUGCAAAUACAAUUUUCUUUUGAAUAUUUACAUAAUUAUAUAAUCUAAUGAAUUUUUCUAAAACUUUUUAUUAAUAUUUUUAUAUAAUUUAAAUGUAUGAAAUAUCUGAAAAAAUAUAUUUAUUUUUUUUCUUUUAUAACAGUUUAAUUUAAAGUGAAAGUUUAUAAUAAGAAUUUUUAAGUUAUUUUAUAAAAAAGUAGUAGUAAAUUAUUAAAUUAAGUAGUAAAUUAUAAAAUAUUAUAUUAUUUUUGAAUCUUUUGAAUUUUCUUAAAAUACGAUAAAAUAUGUUAAAAAAUUGUAUACAUUCUUCUUUUUUAAUUUAAAAUAAUAAAUAUUCUUAAAAAAAUAA